rnacentral:rRNA from 1 species
GACAGGAGGAUGCAAGCGUUAUCCGGAAUGAUUGGGCGUAAAGCGUCUGUAGGUGGCUUUUCAAGUCCGCCGUCAAAUCCCAGGGCUCAACCCUGGACAGGGCGGUGGAAACUACCAAGCUGGAGUACGGUAGGGGCAGAGGGAAUUUCCGGGUGGAGCGGUGGAAAUGCAUUGAGAUCGGAAAGAACACCAACGGCGAAAGCAGCU